UAGUGCAAUAUCGCUUAUAGGGUUU
rnacentral:miRNA from 2 species